AUUGAACGCUGGCGGCAGGCCUAACACAUGCAAGUCGAACGAGUGGCGGACGGGUGCGUAAUGUCGGGGAAACUGCCCGAUGGAGGGGGAUAAAUACUGGACACGGUAGCUAAUACCGCAUACCAUCGGAUGUGCCCAGAUGGGAUUAGCUAGUUGGGGGGGUAACGGCGCCCCUAGGCGACGCUCCCUAGCUGGUCUUAGAGGAUGACCAGACACACUGGAACUGAGACACGGUCCAGACUCCUACGGGAGGCAGCAGUGGGGAAGAUUGCACAAUGGGCUCAAGCCUGAUGCAGCCAUGCCGCGUGUAUGAAGAAGGCCUUCGGGUUGUAAAGUACUGUCAGCGAGGAGGCGUUACUCGCAGAAGAAGCACCGGCUAACUCCGUGCCAGCAGCCGCGGUAAUAC
rnacentral:rRNA from 1 species